rnacentral:rRNA from 1 species
GAUGAACGCUAGCGGCAGGCUUAAUACAUGCAAGUCGAGGGGCAGCACAGUGUAGCAAUACAUGGGUGGCGACCGGCAAACGGGUGCGGAACACGUACACAACCUUCCUUUAAGCGGGGGAUAGCCCGGGGAAACCCGGAUUAAUACCCCAUAGUAUACUGAGGUGGCAUCACCAUGGUAUUAAAGAUUUAUCACUUAAUGAUGGGUGUGCGUCUGAUUAGGUAGUUGGCGGGGUAGAAGCCCACCAAGCCUUCGAUCAGUAGCUGAUGUGAGAGCAUGAUCAGCCACACGGGCACUGAGACACGGGCCCGACUCCUACGGGAGGCAGCAGUAAGGAAUAUUGGUCAAUGGACGCAAGUCU